rnacentral:tRNA from 1 species
GAUCAUGGAGCAGUUGGUAGCUCAGUGCAUGCAUUGUGUGUAUGACGUCCUGGGUUCAAAUCCCAGCUGCUCC